UUGUGUGUGUGUGUGUGUGUGUGUGUGUGUGUGUGUGUGUAUGUGUGUAUGUAUCAGAAAAGGGGACAGAGAGGAACCCGAGUGUCUCAGCGGUUUAGCUCCUGCCUUCAGCCCAGGGCAUGAUCCUGGCGUCUAGGAUCGAGUCCUACAUCGGGCUCCUUGCAUGCAGCCUGCUUCUCCCUCUGCUUGUGUCUCUGUCUCUCUCUCUGUGUCUCUUAUGAAAAAAUAAAAUCUUUAAAAAAAGGGAAGAGGGGACAGAAAAUGAGGGACAUGCCCUUCCUGGGCAGAAGCAAGGUGCCAUGUGUUGAAAGCCUGGUACAUCUUUCAUGCUCAUACCCCAGGUCGUAGCAGGAUAAGACGAGUGCUAGGGAUGAAGUUCAGCUACCUAUAUGGUAUUCAUGAGCGCUUGAGUUUCAUCUGGCUUCCUCCUUGCUGAAUGUCUUUUCAGCUGCCCCCUUGGCCUGAACUGGAGAACACAAUUUCUAAUGGGGGUGUCCCCUUGUGGUGAUGUCCAGGGAAGGCCUUAAUGUCUCUUGGCCUGUAUUUGCAGAGCUGCACCCAGGAGAUCUUUGAGGAGCUAGUCUGCAGCUUCAACUACUCUGGAUCCCUAGACAAGUGUCAGGUGCACCAGGUCCCUGCUGCUCUGAGGUCCCUGGACUUCAUCCAGGAGGGGAGAUUUAAACUGAGGGAGACUGAAGGUCCUGCUACCCACCUGACAGCUCAUUCUCCUCCCUCUCCCAGCCUGUAAAAUCUUGUAGAAAUAUUCUUCACUGCAUGCCAUCCUCUCUGCUCUUCAGAGUGCCUCAAUUCACUGCCUGAAGAAGACAUGGGAGAAAGUUUCCAGGUGAGUAGGCCUCUCUCUAUAGAAAGACCAGGAUGGAUGAGGGAUCUUCUACAUGCCUGUCCCCCCCUCCCCCUCAGUCAGCUGGGACCUCGUGAGAGCAAACCUUGACAACAGGACCCGAGCUGGUGGGUGGGUCACUCAGCCCUCUGGAGAACAGGCCAUCAUGCCUCCUACUUUAGAAAUCAGUUUUCCUAAAUGUCCCACAUUGAGCUGAGCCAAAUUAAAUAUCUUCACGUGUUUACUUUACAGCAUAAAGGACUAGCCCUGUCCAAUUGAAACCAAAAUUGACCAAAGCAGAGCUACUCAAUUAAUAUAGGAAUGGAGACACUGGAUGACCAACAUGAGAGCUCCCUCCCAUGUCCUACAAAGACCUGAGUGCUCAGAGGAACCCAGAGAAAACUCUCAUCCAGGCAGCUGGACUGUUUUGGGUUCUCAAAAGGGACUUGCACUCAAAUUUGCCACGUUAUUCAUAUAUUGAUCCUGCCUUCUCUCCCCCUAUUCCAGAAGAGCUUUCAAAAAUUUAAAAAGCUGUGCACCGAAUACAACCCACAUAGCAGGAAACUGCUUGUCCAGGUAGCAUAGAAGGUACAGGUCUGGGAGGAGAGGAAGGAUGUGAGGGAACAGGGUCCUGAGUGGAUGAAGAAAGACUGCUGUGUAGGAAAAUGGCCUGAAGCAUUCCAUGGGGAGGUGAAGCCUUUGGCAUGUAUGUGAUUACAGCCUGGGGUGAAGACUCCACUAGAGGUGGGACAAGCAAUAUCAUUCAACUAGAAUCCCUAGUCUAGAUAUCCUAUCAUUCUUUGUCAAUAGCUGGUCCAUAUGGGGGCCUGUACCAACCUUGAGAGCCCAGAGUACAGGCCUCUGCUCAGUGAUGGGGUUGGGAUGGGUUGAGGGCCACAACAGUGAUGGUAGUAAUAGGACACUGGGUCCUCAGGAGACCAUGGGAGAUAGCUGGAGUUCUCACUUUUCCCGAUGAGGAACCAGGCUCAGGGAGGCCAGGCUGCAAGCUUAAGGUCACACAUGGACUGAAUGUUGGAGCUGAGAUUGUUCUAGAGUUACUCAUGGCAUGCUUAAGGAUAAUAUAGCAUUGCUCUCCGCUGACUCUGGGUCCUGAGUCAGAUGUCCAGGUUCUAAAGUCAAAGAUGGUGGAGGGAAUUGGACUGAAGAUAUUAUGGUCUCAAUGACCUUAUCCUUGGCCCUUGCAGGAGUAGCCAUCUAAAAUGUCACCUUGGUGAUGGACUUUUGGAGAGCCCAGAAAAGGCUGCAGAUGAAGGUGGGUGUGCCUGAGUUACAGGGCCCCCAGAAUCAGAGAAGAAGGGCUCCUCUCUCACAACUGGAGGCCUCCAAAUCAAGACAGGUGGUCCUUCUGACUCCAGCUCUGCCUCCUGUUGCCACACCUUCUAAAAUUCUUAUUUAGAAGUACCUAGGAGAAGGGUCUAUAAAAACUGGAUACAGAAUGUUGGUGGGGAGAGCCACAGGGCUACAUACCCUGUGAUUUUCUAAAAGCAGGCCUGGAGGUGAUGUUCUUGGAGGGUGGGGGGAAAGAGAAUUGACAGGAGGCUGCUAAGGGUCCUAGGCUGCUCCACGUGGGAAGCUGGGGGCCAGGAGGCUGAAGUAUUUUCAGGGGAGAGUCUCUAUGGGCAUCAAAGAGCAGAGACUCAUCCCAUCCCCACCCCAUGACACAGGGUGUCGUUUCCUUCCUUGCCACUUUCUUCACUGAUCUGAUGAUGCUGGACAUUGCAAUGGAGAAGUACCUGGAGGUGGGUGAGCCUGGGGAUUAUGGAGGAGGGACCAGGAUCCUGAGGUUUGAGAACAGAAAGCCCCUGGACUGAGCCUUGAGCUCUCUUGUCAAACCACCCUGCACGAAAACCUCACAGCUGCCCCUGUGAGCUUGAAUUUCUUGCCCAUGUCAGUGAUGAGUGAAGGAAGACUGCACUUAAUUCAUUGGUUCCAGUGCCCGAGACUAGUGAAGCAGCAGAAAUUUCUGCAUUCAAAGCUGCAUGAGUUUUGUCGUUUGUCUGAGUUGACCUCAGCCUCCCGCUGUGAGGCUGCCUAUUGUGGGUAGGGAGUGAAGUCAGGACCCUCCACAUUCAGAGAGCACUUAAGUAGCCUAGCAGCCCCUUCCUUCCUGAGGCUUCAGUCUCCCCUUCUGUCAUCAGAGAGGGUUGUGCUAUAGGAUCCAGACCUAUAGCCAGAUCAUCUACCCCCAUCCUUCUUUCACUGGACCCCAGAGCUUGGCCUAGAUCCCAGUCCUUUUAUCUGUGUUUGCAUGACCCCCUCAUGUGUCCUGGCCUUAGUGCAGCAUGAGAAAGUAUGGAUAUAAUGAGCUAGUAGUAACCAGAGGGCUUUUUCUGAUGGACUUUGGUUGGCUGCUUUCCAGGGGAAUGAGAUCAACCACCAGAAAAAGAAUAAGGUGAGCAUCUGUUUCACUUCCUAUAGGGAAAGGUAGAGGAGUAGGUAUCAGAGAUGUCCCUGGGAAGAACAUUCCUUGGCUUUCUAUCCCUUCCACCUCACAUAUACUGGGGUAGUUUGAUAAUAAAUAAGUGGAAGACCCAUUCA
rnacentral:lncRNA from 12 species